UUUCCCGUUCUCUUUGUUGCUGUUUUGGCUCUAAGCAAAACUCCUUCUCUCAGAAGUAUAUUAUUUAUUAAUAAUUAAAGAAUUUUAUAAUCAACAUCAAUGGAUAACACGUCAGAAGAUGGUGAUUAUGAAGUUUCAGCGGAGAUGCUGAUUCAUGAGGACAUUGAUGACGAGAGAACACUCCAAGAGGAGGAGGAGAGAAUGGAGGAAGAGGGAGAAGGAGGAGACACUGAAGACGAACUGAUUGAUCUACAGAAGGUUAGGAAGGACUGUAAUAUUGAU